rnacentral:rRNA from 1 species
UACAGAGGUGGCAAGCGUUGUUCGGAAUUAUUGGGCGUAAAGGGCGCGUAGGCGGCCUUCUAAGUCAGACGUGAAAUCCCCCGGCUUAACCUGGGAACUGCGUCUGAUACUGGGAGGCUUGAGUAUGGGAGAGGGAUGUAGAAUUCCAGGUGUAGCGGUGAAAUGCGUAGAUAUCUGGAGGAAUACCGGUGGCGAAGGCGGCAUCCUGGACCAUAACUGACGCUGAGGCGCGAAGGCGAGGGGAGCAAACGGG